AACGAACGCUGGCGGCAGGCCUAACACAUGCAAGUCGAACGCUCGUAGCAAUACGAGAGUGGCAGACGGGUGAGUAACACGUGGGAACCUUCCCUAUGGUUCGGAAUAGCUCAGGGAAACUUGGGGUAAUACCGGAUAAGCCCUUCGGGGAAGGAUUAUCGCCAUUGGAUGGGCCCGCGUCGGAUUAGCUAGUUGGUGAGGUAACGGCUCACCAAGGCAACGAUCCGUAGCUGGUCUGAGAGGAUGAUCAGCCACACUGGGACGUGAGACACGGCCCACGAC
rnacentral:rRNA from 1 species